GAGCAAGGAAGUUCGAUUACCAUCCGUCACGUCCUGUGACGAACAUCGAACGACUCACAUCCUGUGAG
rnacentral:sRNA from 1 species